GCCUGACCCGACCCAAUACCCAAAAAUCCAUCUUCCUUUAAUAAAACCUAACCUAAGAGAGACGCCAAAAACGAUAGGAAGAGAAAUGAGUAAUGCCGCAACAGUGAAAAAAUGACCUCCCCCAUUCACGUCUUCUUCUUGAACGACCCCUCUUACCGUUCUGUAACUUCCCACGAUCCCAAACGACCAGAGACCCACCAGCCGUCGCCUCUACACAAAACCAGCGAGAACGGACCCUCCAAUCUCUCUCGAUAUCUGAGAAUGACGAGUAGUAGCAGACCCCUCCCCAUCGCCGGAAAACCAGUAAACAACAUCGGAUCAAGGACACACACAGUCACGCACAUGAACAGAAUGAGGGAACGAGCGUAAGUCAGGUUUGAGAUUUCAGAAAGUCGAAAUACAGUACAAAAAUGUUUCGUCUCCCUCGUCCUUGAUUUGAUUCUUAGUGACCGAAACAUGGAUGUUUAACUGAAGUCUGGAGUCUUUUGUGAGUUUGAGUCAUGUGGAGGUUUCCGUACGUUGAUUUCAGUCUAUGGUUAUCGCUAUCCAUUUUUCCCUUCGAGUUCGAGCUGCUGAAACUCGAUGUUGCUGUAAACGUGAGUAUCCCUGUUACAUUUUCAUUGGCUCAGUUUUGUUCUCUCGCUUUUACGUCUUGCCUUUGUAAAUUUUAGUAGUAGUAAUAUAUUUGUAUUGUUAAUACUAUUGUCAAUUGUUAAUUUUAUAUUUGCUUAUCACUGAUUGUUAGUUUUUUUGCCAUUUAUUGUUAGAUUAUUAGAUUAUUAGAUUAUAGAUUACAGGGCAUGCUCAUUUCUUUUGUAAUAGAUAGUUUUAUUUUUUCUGCUCGUAUAAAUCCAAGUUUGCUUCUCAUGAAUUAUUAAGCGCGAUUAUUAAUAAUUAUCGUGGCCAUGGUACGGUUUCCGUGGUAUGAUUAGGAUACGUGACUCUCAAUUCGGGGUGCAUUUCAUGUAAUUCAUUUAUAAUAAUUUUGAAUAAUAAAGCCCUUUUGAAUAGAUCGAUGUGUGCCGUGUUGAACAAAACCUCAAAAUGCAUGGCCCUCAUUUAAUUAUUUCUUUAAAAAAUUCUUAGAAUUCGAGGCGUGCCAUUUAGCAAAUUUUCAUGACCCUCGCAAAGCUAACAAUGCGUAGUUGCUUUAGGCGCGUUAUUUUAAUAAUAUUACCUUCUUAAACUCGGGUGUGCUUUUCAUGUGACCCAAAUCCAAAUCCUUAUAACGUUGAAUAAAAUGUGUUUCAGAUUGUGGGUGCAUUUCAUGUGACGCGAUACAAAGACAUAUUUUGGACGACGUUAAAUCUUCUUUAAAAAUAAAUAAAAGCGGUUAAAAGUUAAAAUUUACACAGGUUCAAAAUAUUUUUAAAAUCAGAUAAUUAUGCCAAUUAUAGCAGAUGAGCGACCAUGCUAGAACCAUGGAACUUGGGAAUGCCCAACACAUUCUCCUGGGUUAGCAGAAUUCCUUACCGAAUUUCUGGUUCGUGAACUGUUAAACAUAGUCAAUAUUUUCUUCGAUUCGGAAUUCAACCGGUGACUUGGGACACCAUAAAUCUCACAAGUGGCGAUUCAAAAUCAUUAUAAUAAAUCUCAUUUUGAUUGUCACUUAAAUUAGAAAAACUCUUUUAAACCCUUUUGGGUGUAGAGAAAAAGGAGGUAUGACAUUUGGAAGGCAAGAACUUUUUCACGUUCGUGCUUGAGGGCUCGCAUUCGCGGAAGGCUAAGAGUUUGUGCUUCGCGUUCGCAGAGGGAGGGUCGCUUUCGCGUAUAAGGAUUUAGGGUCCAGUGGAGAUUGUUCUCCGCGUUCGCGUGUAAAGGAAUGCGUUCGUGUAAGUGUAAGGACUGAAGCACAGCGUUCGCAUGUAGUGAGUCGCGUUCGCAUAGGAUUAGUUUUGGGAAGUUUAAAAUUGUGCUUCGCGACUGCAAGGCAUGGGUCGCGAUCGCGAUGAAGAGAUAUCAGAGUUGGGCAAAAAUUUUAUAAGUUAUUUCAUCCGCGAUUUUGAGUCAUUUUUCCUCCAGAGUUGAUCAUUUUGAGAGCUCUUUAAGGGAGAUUGAAGAGGGAUUCAAGGAGAAUUGAUUGGAGGUAAGAAUUUUUGGCAUAAAACGUGAUUCUAUUGUGAAAUUAACCUAGAAAUUCAUAGAACUUAAGCUAAAAAUGAAAGAACUAGGAUUUGGAAUUUUGAACUUUUGAAUUUGGAUUUGAAGGACCAUUUGAGGUCGGAUUUGAAAACUUUUGAUAUGUAUGAACUCGUGGGAGGAUAAGGAACCCAUUGAUGUAAAGAUUUCUGAGAUUCAAGAAGUGGUUCGAGGCUCGGGUUUUGCUAAUUUUGGAAUUUUGAUAUUUUUCAAUUGUUUUCAAUUGGGCUUUGCUUCCUUAAAAUAUUGUGACGUAUUCGUUCUAAUUUUUGUUAGAUUCGAUGCGAGUGAUGGCCAACUAGAAAGGCAAAGGCGUCGUGGAGUAGUAUUUUCACCGGUUUGAGCUAAGUAACAAUUCUAAAUCUAGCACUGAGGGUACAAAACCCCAUUAUUUGACUUGAUUUGAUAAAUACGGUGACCGACACGCUAGGUGACGAGCGUGUGGGCGUGCACCGGUAGGGAUUGUGACUUGGUUUGUCCCGUAGCAACUGUUAAGCCGCGUAAUUGAUUUGGAAAUCCAUAUUAUUCUAUGUUUCAGUCAUUUAUAGUGUGAUUUGGGCUGUAUGCCAUGAUUAGGCCUUGUGCCGGCAUAUAGAAUCCUUUGGGGCAUUUUGACUGAUUUUUCUUACCUUACUUAUUUUCAAUUCAUAUCCUCAGUCAUGUCUUUAUCUGUUUAAACGAUUUAAGCUAGUUCUAUCACUCUAUUCCUAAAUGAGAGGAUUUGUGGGCGGAGAUCCCUACCUUCUAUUAUUAUGCCUGAGAGGCUGUAGGUUAAUGACUGAGAGUGGUUGAGAACCCAACGGUGAGGAUAUUUUAUAUAAUCUGGAGCGGGCUGCACGCCGCAGCAAUACUUAUAUGGAACGGGUUUCACAGUCAAAAUUAUUUUACAUUUGAAUAUGUUUUUACGUCUAAAUUUAGCCUUCAAAGUAAUUAAUAUACGACAAUGAUUUGAAUAGGUUCUAGGGAUGUGUUGAAUAUUUGCCUCAGGAAAUAAUGUGAGACAAUCAUAGUUACUUACAAAUCUAUCAAGUCGUUCAGGAAUUCUGUUAGCUAAAUUACGUUUAUUAGUCCAAGUAUAUCGGUUGCCUCUAAAGCCUAAAUCUAUUAAAUAACAACAGUCUAGGCAUCUAAUGAAAUUAUCACAUCCAGAGUUAUUAAUAGGAUUUCCACCAUAUUUUUCAUUAGCUCUUGUAACUUCAUUAAAAUAUAUAUAUAUUGGAUCGGGUUGUACGCCGCAACAAUAUAGCGUUUGGGAUGUAGGAGCCCCUCUGAAGUCUGCACACCCCUAGUAAGCGUAGUCGACUAUCUUAUAUGGAUUGGGCUGCACGCCGCAGCGAUAUACGGAUCGGGCUAUACACCGCAACGGUUAUUACAGUUUCUGUUAUUAUGAGGGAUAUAUGAGCCGAGUGCUGAGAAUGAGUACUAAGUGACGAGCGAUGAGUCCCGAGUGACCGAGAGGCUGCCCGAGGGGCCAUAUUUAGAGUGAUUCUUUGCCCGAGAGGCCUUGUCAUGCUGCUUUCACUGUUUCACUCUUCUUUCAAACAUAGCCUUUGUUGAACAAUGUUGCUAAGUAUAUGAUUUCAAAUCUUAAGCUGAAGGUAUAUUUUUGUGACGAAAAUGGUUUUAAACUACAAAGUUGAGCUAUUUCUCUGUUGAUAUUUUCAUAUAUUAUGUUUUAACUCAUCGUCCAUCUUCAAUCUUUAUUUACAUUAGUUACUUACUGAGUUAGCGUAAUCACGUUACUUCCUGCACCUUGUGUGUAGAUUCAGGUGCCCGAGGGGGGAGUGAGAGCUUCAGCUGUUAUCACUACUGCCGGGAGUUUUGAGGUAGCUGUAUGGUAUUCGCAUCCCUGAUUCUCCCCUUCUAUCUUUUACUUUUGUUCGGCAUUCCUAGACUUGAUGUAUUAGAUAUUCUGAUAUGUAUUAGAGGCUCUAGACUCCUAACACUAGAUUGUUG
rnacentral:lncRNA from 1 species